rnacentral:tRNA from 1 species
CUUUUUAGGGAGACCGUCUGAGUUGAGAGUUCGUAGAGACGCGAAAUUUUGCGUCUGUACAGGGUUCAGACUUGAGACAUCCCAAGGUCGUUCGGGGAAUUGGUGAAACUUUCAAACUUUAGGUUUUGGGAAUGGGCUAUUAGCUCAGGUGGUUAGAGCGCACCCCUGAUAAGGGUGAGGUCCCUGGUUCAAGUCCAGGAUGGCCCACUAGUAGGUGGUAACAGCCGUUGACCCCUACAGAAGAGGGGGUAUAGCUCAGCUGGUAGAGCGCCUGCUUUGCAAGCAGGAUGUCAGCGGUUCGAGUCCGCUUACCUCCACCAACCCCCAAACAAAAGCAAGAAUUCAGCACCGAGAAAGUUAAAGUUAACCAGACAACUUUCCGACUGCUGGAGUCUUGGACUCCAGAACAUGUACCUUGAAAACUGCAUAGAAAUCAGGCUUAAAAGUAGUAAUUGAGAAAAGAUUCAGGUAGUCGAAAGACUUUAACUGGGUCUCACCAAAAGAGGUCAAGCUACCAAGAGCUAACGGUGG